rnacentral:lncRNA from 1 species
UCAGAUGGCAAAUGAAAAUGCACCUGAUACUCUACAUCCUGUAAAACUUGGUUCACCCGAUGCCGAAUUUUGUGAGCCAGCGCUGCAGGAUGACACUCACAUGGAGCAGCUAAAGGAUACCUGUACAACAAAUGCCAUGAAACCUGACAAUCCAGAAGAAGUGCAACCAGCAACAAAUGUAGAAGUAGUUCCAAGGAGGAGAAGUGAACUUACAGGUAGUGGUGGCCUACUGUACAACAAAUGCCAUGAAACCUGAUACUCUACAUCCUGUAAAACUUGGUUCACCCGAUGCCGAAUUUUGUGAGCCAGCGCUGCAGGAUGACACUCACAUGGAGCAGCUAAAGGAUACCUGUACAACAAAUGCCAUGAAACCUGACAAUCCAGAAGAAGUGCAACCAGCAACAAAUGUAGAAGUAGUUCCAAGGAGGAGAAGUGAACUUACAG